AUCUACUUAUGAUAUGCUAAGAAAUAUUCUCAGUAUAUACUGAGUAGGCUUCUAGGGCAGACAUAGAAACAUCCUCCGUACAUUCUCAAAAUAUCGUGAAUCUACCUGUGCUGUAUGGGUAAGAUAUCACCUUACCCAAACCAUGUCUGAGGUGUGGAGUGGAUCUUGCUUCACGUAGAAAGUUGCAAAUCCAUGUGGAAUCGUAUAUGUACUGUAAAGUACAUGCUUACAAUUAGAUGGGAGGACAGGUAUGAGAUUUAGAGUCCAUCUUUUUUCAUCAAGUGCGGACGUCUAGAAAUAUCUACAUCCCAAUUAAAAACCGUAACGUAACUUUAAUCAACUUUUCUAAUGUUUCAAUCAUUGUCGUCACAUAAGAGUCGAAUUAUAAAAUAUAGGCAUACGUGUGAGCACUGUGGUUGCUGGGCUCGAACUGAUCUGUUAGUCAUGUCUUAGGAACAAUACAAGGUGAUAUUGCGAACUAUACAGUUUUGAUUACACAGUCAUAUAUUACAUUUAAAUAUUCCGUGUCUGUUAGUAAAUUUAACGCGUUAUCGGUUUUCUUGAUAAAGAACGUUUCGACAACUUCUCUUUUUCUCCUGAGGCGCUCGCUAUGCAAAAUUCUUGGUUUCAACUAAUUGAACUCGUGAUCAUGUAAUACGCGGUGUUCACUACCUACAGAGUGACAGCUUUCGUCUUUUUUUAUGUCAUUUCUAUGUUCUUCAAAUCUGGUCAGUAGGUGUCAUUUCUUACGAAUAUUUACUGUAAUAUUAAAAACUAUAAAUAUCUGUAAAAUCUACUUAAAAAUGCAUAAUUUUAUUUAAAAAAGUUACGUCUUUAAGACUCAAUAUGUGAUACUUGAAUUUUUUAUUACCUAUACCCUUAAAAUUUUUCUAAAAUAAUUAUAUAUAAUCUAUGAACUGAAUAAAAACCAAUAAAAACAGGACCAAUACAAAAUUUGAUUGUGAUUUUGAAAAUUUGAUUGUGAAUGAUUGUGAAAAUUUGAUUGACCGUGAUGACAGACUUACAGAUGAUUCCAAUAUGACGCGUUACAAAGUUUGUUCUCGAAAUUGUGUUGAAAUUGCUUUAUGCUUACGAUACCUUCUAUGAUUUACCAUUUCGAAAAUGGCCGCAUUUAAUAUACUAAAUAACUAUAAAUGAGCACACUUUGUAAUUCUGUUACAGCUUGCGCAUGUUCUACUUUGCGACAAACAGGAUGUUGACGUCUUCAAUGUGCAAUUUUUCUUUUUUCAAUAUAUCUCACAAAUUACAAUUCUACGUAAAAAAGCAAAAACCAUAU